CCUACGGGGGGCAGCAGUGGGGAAUAUUGGGCAAUGGGCGCAAGCCUGACCCAGCAACGCCGCGUGAAGGAAGAAGGUUUUCGGGUUGUAAACUUCUUUUCUCAGGGACGAAGAAAGUGCCGGUACCUGAGGAAUAAGCCACGGCUAACUACGUGCCAGCAGACGCGGUAAUACGUAGGUGGCAAGCGUUAUCCGGAUUUAGUGGGUGUAAAGGGCGCGUCGGCGGGACUGCAAGUCAGAUGUAAAAACCACGGGCACAACCUGUGGCCUGCAUUUGAAACUGUAGUUCUUGAGUACUGGAGAGGCAGACGGAAUUCCUAGGGUAGCGGUGAAAUGCGUAGAUAUUAGGAGGAACACCAGUGGCGAAGGCGGUCUGCUGGACAGCAACUGACGCUGAGGCGCGAAAGCGUGGGGAGCAAACAGGAUUAGAUACCCGGGUAGUC
rnacentral:rRNA from 1 species